rnacentral:lncRNA from 1 species
CCACACAUUUGUCACAGUGCUGAAUUCUUCCGAGUCUCAUUUUACUGCUAUCUAAAAUGUUAGCAUUUUUUCACACAGUGCUUGAGCAGAUAGCAAGCACUGCAUAGUCUAUGAUGCCAAAAUUAGUGUUCCAUUUUUUAGCAGAUAGCAGAGUGCAUCUCUUUAUACAUGUCGAUUACUUAUGUAUUUUUUGCAUGUGCUUUUCUUAGAUGCCCCCCUGGAAAUAAAUGAGAAACGGGUUUAGUGUAGAAGUCAUGAAGUAAUCCAUUCUCUUUUGCUACUCU